UCUUGGUCAUUUUAGAGGAAGUAAAAGUCGUAACAAGGUUUCCGUAGGUGAACCUGCGGAAGGAUCAUUACUGAGGAACUCGCACCGUUGUUGCUGGCCUUCGGGCAUGUGCACGCGGUUGCACUCUUCUUAUUCCACACCUGUGAACCGUUUAACGAGUGGAGUUGCGUUCGCGCGCUUUAACUCGCUACUACANACUACUUCGAACAACUCAGAACGUCUUGACAUUAUUAAAUGUAACAACUUUCAACAACGGAUCUCUUGGCUCUCGCAUCGAUGAAGAACGCAGCGAAUUGCGAUAAGUAAUGUGAAUUGCAGAAUUCAGUGAAUCAUCGAAUCUUUGAACGCACCUUGCACUCUCUGGUAUUCCGGAGAGUAUGCCUGUUCGAGUGUCGUGAAGUACUCAACUUGCAGCUUUGUUGCUUGCAAGCUUGGAAUUGGNACCUGUCGGCGCAAGUCGACUGUCCUGAAAUGCAUUAGCCCUGAAUGCGAUCGUCGCAACUAAGCGUGAUAAACUUUGUCUUCGCUGAAAGCGUUCGUUCGGAGGGCUCACAGAAACCCCAUACUUUUUCACCUUUGACCUCGAAUCAGGUAGGAUUACCCGCUGAACUUAAGCAUAUCAUUAAGCGGAGGAAAAGAAACUAACAAGGAUUCCCCUAGUAACGGCGAGUGAAGCGGGAUGAGCUCAAAUUUAAAAUCUGGCGGUUCUGCCGUCCGAGUUGUAAUCUGGAGAAGUGUUUUCCGUGCUGGACCGUGUACAA
rnacentral:rRNA from 1 species